CUUUUCUCAUGUUACCGAGCGGCUUAUAAGGAGGGGGAGGCCAAGCCUCCGCCUUAUUGGGAGCCUUUGGGGGUUUAUUCUCUUCCCUUCUAACUUGGCUGGAGCGCAGCGGCACAAUCUCAGCUCACUGCAACCUCUGCCUCCUGGGUUCAAGCAGUUCUCCCACCGCAGCCUCCCGAGUAGCUGGAAGCACAGACAGGGUCUUGCUCUGUCAUUCAGGCAAGAGUGCAGUAGUGUGAUCACUUCUUACUGCCGCCUCAAGCUUCCAGCCUCAACUCAAGCAAUCCUCCCACCUCAGCCACCCAAGUGGCUGGGACUACAGAUUAAGAAUGACCCAAAAUAAAUUAAAGCUUUGUUCCAAAGCCAAUGUGUAUACUGAAGUGCCUGAUGGAGGAUGGGGCUGGGCGGUAGCUGUUUCAUUUUUCUUCGUUGAAGUCUUCACCUACGGCAUCAUCAAGACAUUUGGUGUCUUCUUUAAUGACUUAAUGGACAGUUUUAAUGAAUCCAAUAGCAGGAUCUCAUGGAUAAUCUCAAUCUGUGUGUUUGUCUUAACAUUUUCAGCUCCCCUCGCCACAGUCCUGAGC
rnacentral:lncRNA from 10 species